rnacentral:rRNA from 1 species
CCUACGGGAGGCAGCAGUGAGGAAUAUUGGUCAAUGGCCGGAAGGCUGAACCAGCCAUGCCGCGUGAAGGUCAGUGCCCUAUGGGCGUUAAACUUCUUUUGUGCGGGAGCAAUAAUGGUCACGUGUGGCCAGACGAGAGUACCGUACGAAUAAGCAUCGGCUAACUCCGUGCCAGCAGCCGCGGUAAUACGGGGGAUGCAAGCGUUAUCCGGAUUUAUUGGGUUUAAAGGGUGCGUAGGCUGUGGGGUAAGUCAGCGGUGAAAUGCCCCCGCUCAACGGGGUGAAGUGCCAUUGAUACUGCCUGGCUGGAAUGCGGAUGCGGUGGGAGGAAUGUGUGGUGUAGCGGUGAAAUGCAUAGAUAUCACACAGAACACCGAUUGCGAAGGCAUCUCACGAAUCCGCGAUUGACGCUGAUGCACGAAAGCGUGGGUAUCAAACAGGAUUAGAUACCCUAGUAGUC